AUUGAACGCUGGCGGCAGGCCUAACACAUGCAAGUCGAGCGAGCGGCGGACGGGUGAGUAAUGUCUGGGAAACUGCCUGAUGGAGGGGGAUAACUACUGGAAACGGUAGCUAAUACCGCAUACCAUCAGAUGUGCCCAUAUGGGAUUAGCUAGUAGGUGGGGUAAAGGCUCACCUAGGCGACGAUCCCUAGCUGGUCUGAGGGGAUGAACAGCCACACCGGAACUGUGACACGGUCCAGCCUCCUACGUGAGGCAGCAGUGGGGAAUAUUGCACAAUGGGCGCAAGCCUGAUGCAGCCAUGCCGCGUGUAUGAAGAAGGCCUUCGGGUUGUAAAGUACUUUCAGCGGGGAGGCGUUACCCGCAGAAGAAGCACCGGCUAACUCCGUGCCAGCAGCCGCGGUAAUAC
rnacentral:rRNA from 1 species